AUGGCAGCUCCGAGAGCAGUCGUCCUCUGCGUCCUGCUGGCGGUCGCCGUCGCCAACGCCGAGGCGGCGUCGGUCAUCGUCGGCCUGGCCAAGUGCGCCGACUGCACCAGGAAGAGCAUGAAGUCCGAGGAAGCCUUCAAGGCUCUGCAGGUGGCGAUCAAGUGCAAGAACAGCGCUGGCGAGUACGAGAGCAAGGCCGUGGGCGCCCUCAACGGCACUGGCGCUUUUAGCGUGCCCCUGGCCGCCGACCUCCACGGCGCCGACUGCGUCGCGCAGCUCCACAGCGCGUCCUCCAACGCGCCGUGCCCCGGCCAGGAGCCGUCCAAGAUCGUGCCGGUGUCCGAGGGCAGCACCUACGGCGUCGUCGCUGGCGACAACACCGCCACGCCGUCCGCGGCGUCGCCGGAGUGCGCGUUCAUGUCCCUGUGCGGGCCGAUCAAGAAGCACAUCAUGGAGCACUUCCACCACAAGAAGCCCGUGCCGCCCAAGCCAGAGCCCAAGCCCCAGCCCCACCCGGACUACGGCCCCGUGCCCAAACCAGAGCCCAAGCAGCCCCACCCGGACUACCACCCCGUCCCUCCUACGCCCACCUACGGCGGCGGCGGUGGCGGUGGAUACCACGGACACCACUGA
rnacentral:rRNA from 1 species